rnacentral:lncRNA from 1 species
UUGUCCAUAAUUUUGCUCAUGUAAUUAAUCAUUUCCCUAUCCAUUGCAGGAAAUUAUUGUUUACUUUAGAUUGGGGCGGUGGAGCCAAUGAAAAAAGAUCACUGCAGCUUUGAAUGUAGGCACAAGUCAAAUGAAACUAUUGGAUGGAGCAAUUCAGUGCGGUGGGGUACAGGGGCUCGUGCAGGAGUAUAUAUAACAGCAGAGUUCAUCUCUGUUUUGCUGACAAUUCACACUGAAACUGUUGAAAAGUAGAUAAUCAGCCAAUAAACAGUAAAUCAUCACAUCUAUUUGCUUUCCUGGUAUAUGGGGCCAUUAUUAUUCUGGUACUUCUAAAGAGUCAUUAUUCUUAUGGUACUUCUAAAUUUGCAUAUCUUUGUGUUCAGAUGGAAGUCACCUGGCAAAGGUCUAAUGUUUCAGAUUUAAUGUUACAUACAUGCCCAAUAGUAAUACGUUAUAUAAUAUACUCUAGACUGUAUUCUUAUUUAGUUUUUUUCAUGCUUCUUGUUUCACUAGGCUAUUGCAAAGACGACAUAUCCACUUGGAGUUGGAUAUUAUUUUGAUAACCAUAUCUAGCUAUUUUUACAAAAUAAUAUCAAUUAACUUGCAUCGAUUCAAUGCUAGAGCGUAGUCAUGAAACAUUGCCACUGCGCCACAAGGCGAUUAAAAUCAUGGAAAUUGAUAUAAAAGUUACUUGUGAUUUCUAUAGUCAUGUAAUCACAAACCAUAAUGAUAAAAAAGCCAAAUCGUUUAUUUUAUUGGAGAACACAUCAACUAUAUGGAGAAUCAAAUUUUGCUGACAAUUCACACUGAAACUGUUGAAAAGUAGAUAAUCAGCCAAUAAACAGUAAAUCAUCACAUCUAUUUGCUUUCCUGGUAUAUGGGGCCAUUAUUAUUCUGGUACUUCUAAAGAGUCAUUAUUCUUAUGGUACUUCUAAAUUUGCAUAUCUUUGUGUUCAGAUGGAAGUCACCUGGCAAAGGUCUAACGUUUCAAAUUUAAUGUUAUAUACAUGCCCAAGAGUAAUACGUUAUAUAAUAUACUCUAGACUGUAUUCUUAUUUAGUUUUUUUCAUGCUUCUUGUUUCACUGGGCUAUUGCAAAGACAACAUAUCCACUUGGAGUUGGAUAUUAUUUUGAUAACCAUAUCUAGCUAUUUUUACAAAAUAAUAUCAAUUAACUUGCAUCAAUUCAAUGCUAGAGCGGUAGUCAUGAAACAUUGCCACUGUGCCACAAGGCGAUUAAAAUCAUGGAAAUUGAUAUAAAAGUUACUUGUGAUUUCUAUAGUCAUGUAAUCACAAACCAUAAUGAUAAAAAAGCCAAAUCGUUUAUUUUAUUGGAGAACACAUCAACUAUAUGGAGAAUCAAAGGUGAAUGUAAAUGAAACGCUCCAUGUAUGUUUAGGCUCCAAUAUAAGAUUAAAAUAGUGGAUAAAUCAUUGUACCAUAUUCAAUUAGAACUACAAAGAAGAAGAGAAAUGGUUGAAUAGCAAAUUCUGACCGGCCAAUUCCGUCGGGCACCGUCAUGGGAGGAGGCGAACCAUCGAGGAGUAGCAUGGGAGGAGAUGAAAAUAAGCUGUCGGACUCCCUAUUCACUUCUGGUUGCAUCUUGCCUGUGAGCUCCUUCUUACAGCUAGCUUGGCCCUUUUAUUGUCAUGUUUUGGGUGUUCCUUCCUACAGCCAGAUUGGCCAUUUGCUUUGGAAGUAGUAAUUCAACUCAGAAAGCAUAAAUAAUUUGAGACUGCUUCUGUCCUCCCUACAAUUUGUUGAAGUCAUCAUUCUUUUUUCUUUUUUCUGUAGUUUUUCCUCAUCUUUUACAGUUUAUUUGGGUUAUUUCAUUCUCUGGUACUUGGGCAUAUUGGUUGUCUUGUUGUCUCCUUUUACUAACAGUAUUUCCUAUUCAGUGUAUGGGAGAGGUUACUAGCUCACAUAUAUAGUUUAGUUAUUAAGUUUCUAAAUAAGUUCAACCUCAGAGCUCGGAUUUUGUACGCUUCAAAAUUGGAGUGUGACUUUUGCUUGCUAGUUGAUACAGUUAUGGUGUGGAUGCCUACUACUCAAAAUGAUUUUAUAUCGUAUCAUAAAUUUCAGGAACCGUAUCAGAACAAAUCAUUGGCAUUGCAGCUUCAGGGACAUGUAUGAUGCAUAUCCCAUCACUGAACAAGAUUGGAUUUUAGUGUAUACAAGCCAUCCUACUCGCUGCCUCCUCAGCUACUCAGAUAGUUAUUCCUUCUCAUUAUCAGUGAGUAAGUUGGUU